GGCCAGUUAGCUCAGUUGGUUAGAGCAUGAUACUGGUAACACCAAGGUUCAGGGUUCGAUCCCCAUACUGGCCA